CAACUGCGUUUUAUCUCGCGCUAAACCGCUUCUACGCUUCUCAAAAUCAUGAGUAGCAUCGCCCUUGAAGGGAACAGCACAUCAAGAAAAGAAUUAUCGUUGGAAGCGGAAAAAGAAAAGGAGUAACCAGAAUCUGUUUGUAUGCGACGCAAAUGUUUGACAUGUCAUUCGGAAAAGGACAAUGGGGGGUGUCACGAUUAGCAGAACUAGAACUUUCUUUUGUUAAUGGUUUCGAACUACAAGAUACAUUCUUAGAAAGGAUUCGAUUUGACUAGUCUCUUGGAAACGGAACACAUUUCUGACGAUUAAGAAUUAGGGUUUAAAGAUAAU